GAUGAACGCUGGCGGCGUGCUUAAUACAUGCAAGUCGAGCGAACGGACGCGAAGCUUGCUUCUCUGUUGUUAGCGGCGGACGGGUGAGUAACAUGUGGAUAACCUACCUAUCAGACUGGGAUAACUUCGGGAAACCGGAGCUAAUCCCGGAUAAUAUUUUGAACCGCAUGGUUCAAAAGUGAAUGACGGUCUUGCUGUCACUUGGGGAUGGAUCUGCGCUGCAUUAGCUAGUUGGUAAGGUAACGGCUUACCAAGGCAACGAUGGGUAGCCGACCUGAGAGGGUGACCGGCCACACUGGGACUGAGAUAAGGACCAGACUGCUACGGGAGGCAGCAGUGGGGAAUAUUGCAAAAUGGGCGGAAGCAUGAUGAAGCAACGCCGCGUGAGGGAUGACGGCCUUAGGGUUGUAAAAAGCUUUAGGCUGUGAAGAAGCGUGAGUGACGGUAAUGGGUAAAGAAGCACCGGCUAACUACGUG
rnacentral:rRNA from 1 species